UGCAAAAUGGGUCAUUGGGUUGUGCUGCUCAAAAAGGUUAGCAACCCAAGAAGGGGGGGUGAUUGGUUUCUUUAAAAAUUUCUUUCAAAUCUAAAUUUAAAUAAUUAUGAACUUUAAAUUAAACUAACUUGAGUAAUUGUGAGGUGUAUAUAAUGUGCUUUAGUGGAAUUAAGAUAUAAAAGAAGCAAUGCAAGAAUUAAAAAUAAUACAAAGUAAGAAUUAAGAGUAAGUAAAAUAAGCG
rnacentral:lncRNA from 1 species